AACGAACGCUGGCGCCAGGCCUAACACAUGCAAGUCGAGCGGACCUUUCGGGGUCAGCUGCGGACGGGUGAGUAACGCGUGGGAAUAUGCCCUUCUCUACGGAAUAGUCCUGGGAAACUGGGGGUAAUACCGUAUACGCUCUUUGGGGGAAAGAUUUAUCGGGGAAGGAUUAGCCCGCGUUGGAUUAGGUAGUUGGUGGGGUAAUGGCCUACCAAGCCGUGGAUCCAUAGCUGGUUUGAGAGGAUGAUCAGCCACACUGGGACUGAGACACGGCCCAGACUCCUACGGGAGGCAGCAGAGGGGAAUCUUAGACGAUGGGGGCAGCUCUGAUCUAGCCAUGCCGGGUGAGUGAUGAAGGCCUUAGGGUUGUAAAGCUCUUUCAGCUGGGAAGAUAAUGACGGUACCAGCAGAAGAAGCCCCGGCUAACUACGUG
rnacentral:rRNA from 1 species